GUGGGGGAUAUUGCACAAUGGAGGAAACUCUGAUGCAGCGACGCCGCGUGAGGGAAGAAGGUUUUCGGAUUGUAAACCUCUGUCUUCGGGGACGAAACAAAUGACGGUACUCGAGGAGGAAGCCACGGCUAACUACGUGCCAGCAGCCGCGGUAAUACGUAGGUGGCAAGCGUUGUCCGGAAUUACUGGGUGUAAAGGGAGCGCAGGCGGAACUGCAAGUUGGGUGUUUAAUCUACGGGCUCAACCCGUAUCAGCAUUCAAAACUGUGGUUCUUGAGUAAUGCAGAGGUAGGCGGAAUUCCCGGUGUAGCGGUGGAAUGCGUAGAUAUCGGGAGGAACACCAGUGGCGAAGGCGGCCUACUGGGCAUCAACUGACGCUGAGGCUCGAAAGCAUGGGUAGCAAACAGGAUUAGAUACCCGUGUAGUCC
rnacentral:rRNA from 1 species